CGAAGGUUGACCUGGAAACCAGUAAAAAGGGGAUUUAGGAUUGAAGGAAGAGAGGGAAACAUAAGAAAUGGAGACAGAUUUAAGUUUUGUGCAGAGAAGAAAAGCACAACGAUGUGGAGAUAUUAUGAACUGUAUGACGGCAAGCACAGAGAAACUGAUCCCGUCGUUCUGUGCGGCCGAGAAAAAAAAAGUUUCAACCGUAAAAAAUAAUGUUUAGAUCUAGGUUUUUUUUCCUUUUAAUACAAUAAAUGUUUGUUGGAUUAGUUUAAUUACGUUUUAGGUUUAUUAUUUUUAGAUGGACUUUAAAUAACUUGGGCCAAUGAACAUACUAAAAUAGAUCCAAAUGUAUAUAAACUUUAGAAAGAUCCUAUGACAAAUUUGGUAAAAUAUCAAACAGGUUUCUACUGAUAUAAAAUUUGGACGAUAGAUUUAAGAUUGGAUAUAAAAAGAUAAUUUUUUUAACCAUUACCCC
rnacentral:lncRNA from 1 species